rnacentral:tRNA from 1 species
GCUGGCGUAGCUCAGUUGGUAGAGCAACGGUUUCGUAAACCGUAGGUCGUCGGUUCAAGUCCGACCGUCAGCUCCA